CAAAUUGAGAGUUUGAUCCUGGCUCAGGAUGAACGCUGGCGGCGUGCCUAAUACAUGCAAGUCGAACGCUUUGUGGUUCAACUGAUUUGAAGAGCUUGCUCAGAUAUGACGAUGGACAUUGCAAAGAGUGGCGAACGGGUGAGU
rnacentral:rRNA from 1 species